rnacentral:rRNA from 1 species
AUUGAACGCUGGCGGCAGGCCUAACACAUGCAAGUCGAACGGCAGCGGGGGAUAGCUUGCUAUCCUGCCGGCGAGUGGCGGACGGGUGAGUAAUGCAUGGGGAGCUGCCCAGUCGAGGGGGAUAACAACUGGAAACGGUUGCUAAUACCGCAUACGCCCUAAGAGGGAAAGGUGGGGAACGUCGGUCCUAGCGCGAUUGGAUGCGCCCAUGUGGGAUUAGCUAGUUGGUGAGGUAACGGCUCACCAAGGCGACGAUCUCUAGUUGGUAGGAGAGGAUGACCGGCCACAAUGAAACUGAGACACGGCCCAGACUCCUACGGGAGGCAGCAGUGGGGAAUAUUGCACAAUGGGGGAAACCAUGAUGCAGCCAUGCCGCGUGUGUGAAGAAGGCCUUCGGGUUGUAAAGCACUUUCAGUCAGGAGGAAGGGGUGAUGGCUAAUAUCCAUCAUCAUUGACGUUACUGACAGAAGAAGCACCGGCUAACUCCGUGCCAGCCGCCGCCGUAA